AUCAUGAUCGCCCUAUUACAUUUAGCAAUCAACAGCGUGGGAGCAAAAAAAAAUCGAUCAUAAAUGUUUUUAAUGGAAUCUAGCACUAGCAUGAUGAAUCUCUUCUGGAAUUGAAGAGAUUUAGGGACUACUCUGAAUUAGGCUUUGGCUUAAGGGAAUGCUAUGAUUGGUUUGAUCUAUCCAGACCACUAAAACUUUCUUCAUAUCAGCAACAGGUUGUUUUUCUUUCUUAUCAUUCAUGUGCUUACUGGAUUAUCACAUUUAAUUUCCUUCAAAAACUUUCCUUUGAAUUCACAACUUGACUAACUGGCACAAAAAGCCUACCUUUCAGCCUGUGUUGGCUUUCAACAUGCCUUCCUCACUAAGCUUAAUCAUUUCUUGCUUCUUUUUUGUUUUUUUUUUUAGACAGAGUUUCACUCUUGUUGCCUCCCCAGGCUGGAGUGCAAUGGCGUGAUCUUGGCUGACUGCAACCUCCUCCUCCCAGGCUCAAGCAAUUCUCCUGCCUCAGCAUCCCAAGUAGCUGGGAUUAUAGGCAUGUGCCACCACAUCUGGCUAACUUUGUACUUUUAGUAGAGAUGGGGUUUCACCAUGUUGGUCAGGCUGGUCUCGAACUCCUGACCUCAGGUGAUCCUCCCACCUCAAGUGAGAGAAGUCCAACUCCUCCUUUCACUUGAAUACUUACAGGCCAUGAUAACAUUAUUAAUUGACCUAGUUUUUAUUUGCUACAUAUUAGUGAAUGGGAGGAUUGAGGAAAGGGAGAGGGACAGGGGAAUAAUAGCUGGUUGGUGGAGCAGUCAGAACACAAACAACAUGUAUGAAGUAAGUUCGCUGUCUUAUAUCUGCAUGGCUACUGAUGCUUCAAAACAAUGACAGUAGUAACAUCAAAGAUCACUGAUCACAGAUCACCAUAAGAGAUACAAUGAUAAUGGAAAAGUGUGAAAUUUUAAGAGAAUUAUCAACAUGUAACAUAGACAUUAGAAAAAAGGUGCCAGUGGACUUGCUUCAUUCAGGGUUGCAGCAAAUCUUCAAUUUGUAAAAAAUGCAGUGUCCAUGAAGUACAAUAAAGUAAAGUGAUAUAAGACAAGGUGUGCCUGUAUAUAUAAACUUUCUCCUUUGCUGCCCCCCAAUUCUCCUCUAAAUGGCAUAUGAUCUCUUUCCUUUCUUUUUCCCAUGAAGCGAGAAGAAAACUGGGAUAAAACUUAUGCAUCUGAUGAGAGAACAGAGAAGUCUCUGCAUUUAAAAAGGAAAGGAAUGACAUCUGUAUUUGUACUGUGUGUGCAUUGCUGUUUAAGUGUGCAGAUUUGUGUAGAGGUGUAUGUUUCCCUAGUAGCUCUAAAAAUACAUGAAAUGCUUCCCUCACUGCUCCCAUUUGUUUCUUUUUGGCAAUUUAUAUUUAACUUUUCUCUCUUUGUCCCUGUCUCCUUUCUCCUCUUUCAUAAAUAAUAUACUGCUUUUCUCUGUCAUUCUAAAGGAGUCACGGGGACUUUAAAUUGAUACAGCUGUAAAGGAGGAAAUGAGAGGCAAGGGAAUACACUGUGACUUUAGGAUGGAAAGAUAUGCAGUUUGACUGCAAAACGCAGAGACAGCUUUGAUUGAGGUGAAACAUAGGAAAAGUCCAAGAAGAAUCAGAGGAAACCAUUACAGAUCUCCUGGGCAAAGGGAAAACUUAGAGGGGAAAAUGUUUUUGCAGAGGGAUGAUGAGGAAACAGCUGAUUAAGACAGAGAGUGUCAAUCAUGUGGGGAAAUAGACACGGAACUGAGCCAGGUGGGAGUGCGGGCUCCUUGCAGGGCUGGAAUGAGGGCAAGGUUGGGCUCAGAUUUACAUACUGAUUCAUACCCACGCACUCAUGCACGCACAUGCACAUGAACACACACACAUUUUAAGGGUCCUCUGAAAGUGGCAACCGCACAUCCAUGUUCCCCUGGCAGUGGGCAAUGUGAACGGCAUAGGCUAUUCCCCAGUACCCAUACAUUAGACCUGAUGGACUUUCCCUGAGCACCUCCACCUUGCCUUGUCCCUUCAUGUUCUGUGGCUUUCCUGUUCAUAGCCUCUGAAGGUGAGGAGCCUCAGCCUGGGUUCUGCCAUCAGCAAGGACUCAUUUCUUUGCUCUCUAAGGCUAACUGUUGCUCACAUACUGGCCAGAAGCCAAAGAAACAAUUUCCAUGUGAAUGGUAUUUUAAGGCUAUCACUUUCACACUCCUCAAACUCUAGUAUUUUGGGUUUUGGAAGCAGCGCUGCAUACAGACAAGGGUUCUGGCUUCAUUUGCAACAGUGAGAGCUGCAGAAGGGCAUCUUGGGGGCGGAGGGCAUUUUUUUUUGAGGUUUCAGGAAGCACCACAGAGAAACGGAAGGUGAAUUAAUGGAAUGCCGGAAUUCUGUGGAGAAGCAUGGAGCAGACCUGCGACAUCCGAUGAAAUGUAUACAAAGGAGAAGAUUAUGAAACUGACUGAAAAUCGUCUAUAAAGUCGGGAGUAAAAGGAAUGACGUAUGGGAACUGGGGGAGGAGAAUGUCUCUUUAGUAAAUCAGAGACUGAGAAACUACCAAAGAAAAGCUGUUAGUUUUGUUUGUAUAACAUGAAUCUAGUCUAAGGGAAUUAAACCAAAAAGAAAUACAUGAUUCCUUUAUAUUUUAGUAGAAAAUUCUAAAGAGAAAAAACUAUGAAAUACAAGCAUUGUGCAUUUCAAUGUGCAAGCUCUAAAGAGAAAACUCUAAAAUACAAGCAUUGUGUAGGAAGGAAUAUGAACACUGACAAGAGGAAAUGAUAAAAGGAGAAAGAGUCUAUGUUUCAUUGCAGUCUGUGUGUAAUACAAUAUGACAAAAGACAGGGAAUAGGCUGGCUUUUGUGAACAUAAGAUCUCACUAUAUCUGAGACUUCUCACUAUAUCUGUAUUCUGUAAGUGACAUCGCUGCACAAGAGAGGAGAUUGGGUAAGAAAUAGGUCACAAAAUAUGUCUGCAUGCUGUAAGUUUUUUGGGGAAAAUACUAGGAAAAAAUUAAAUCUCACUAGAGGCAGUAAGUGAGAGUAAGUCCAAGACUAAGGUAAUACAUGAUACUACAAAAGAAAAAGUCAUACAAUAGCCAUUUUUCCAAGGAAGAUAUGAAAUGGUCAAUUAGCAUAUGAAAAGAUUCUCAACAUCAUCAGUUGUCAGGGCAAACCACAAUGAGAUACCACUUCACACCUUCUAAGUAGGCUGGAAUCCAAUAGUCAAAUAACAACAUAUUUUGAUGAGAAUGCAGAAAAAAUGGAGCACUCAUAUAUUGCUAGUGGAAAUAUAAAAUGGCAAAACCAUUUUGAAAAACUCUCUGGCCAUUCCUCAAAUAAUUAAAUAUUGAAUUAUUGUCUGACCCAGCAAUUCUACUCCUAGGUAUAUACCCAAGAGUAAUGAAAACACAUGUUCACAUAAAGCCUUGUACAUAAAUGUUAAGCAGCCUUGUUCAUCAUGAUAGUCAAAAGGUGGAAACAACCCAAAUGUCCAUCAAUACACAACAAUAAUAAGCAAAAUGUGGUAUAUCCAUAAAAUAGAAUAUUAUUGACCAUAAAAAGAAUGAAGUAUUAAUGUAUUCUAUCACAUGGAUAAAACUUCAAAACACUAUGCUGAGUUUUAAAAGUCAGCCACAAAAGAUUAGAUACUAUAUAACUCCAUUAAUAUAAAAAUGCAGAAUGAGGAAAUAUACAGAAACAAAGUAAAUUAGUGGUUGCUUAUGGCUGAUGGAAAAAAUGAGGGCUUGUAGGGUAAUAGCUAAAGGGUUGGGGUUUUCUUUUUCAGGUUGUGAAAAUGUACUAAAAUUGACUGGUGAUGUUUGCACAUAUUUGUGAAUAUAGUAAAAUCUGCUGAAUUGUACACUUUAAAUUAGGUGAAUUGCGUGGUAUGUAAAUAAUAUCUCAAUAAAACUCUGG
rnacentral:lncRNA from 10 species